CCUACGGGAGGCUGCAGGGGGGAAUAUUGGACAAUGGGGGCAACCCUGAUCCAGCCAUGCCGCGUGUGUGAAGAAGGUCCUCGGGUUGUAAAGCACUUUCAGUGAGGAAGAACGCCUGGUGGUUAAUACCCAUCAGGAAAGACAUCACUCACAGAAGAAGCACCGGCUAACUCCGUGCCAGCAGCCGCGGUAAUACGGAGGGUGCGAGCGUUAAUCGGAAUUACUGGGCGUAAAGCGCGCGUAGGUGGCUUGAUAAGCCGGUUGUGAAAGCCCCGGGCUCAACCUGGGAACGGCAUCCGGAACUGUCAAGCUAGAGUGCAGGAGAGGAAGGUAGAAUUCCCGGUGUAGCGGUGAAAUGCGUAGAGAUCGGGAGGAAUACCAGUGGCGAAGGCGGCCUUCUGGACUGACACUGACACUGAGGUGCGAAAGCGUGGGUAGCAAACAGGAUUAGAUACCCGAGUAGUC
rnacentral:rRNA from 1 species